UAGCCUUUAGCAAUAUAAGUAUUAAAGGUCCUGCCUGCCCAGUGAAAACUUUUAAACGGCCGCGGUAUUCUAACCGUGCAAAGGUAGCGUAAUCACUUGUCUUCCAAAUAAAGACCAGUAUGAAUGGCUAAAUGAGGACAAACCUGUCUCCUACAACCAAUCAGUGAAACUGAUCUCCCAGUCCAAAAGCUGGAAUAUCAACAUUAGACGAGAAGACCCUGUGGAGCUUUAAACCAACCUAGUAACACACGACUAACCAGGUUUUAAGUUGGGGCGACUUCGGAAAAAAACAAAACUUCCGAGCACGGAAUCACCAAAUUCUAAACCUAGGCAAACAGGCCAAAGCAAAAACUGACCCAGUACACACUGACCAACGAACCAAGUUACCCCAGGGAUAACAGCGCUAUCCUCUUCAAGAGUCCAUAUCGACAAGAGGGUUUACGACCUCGAUGUUGGAUCAGGGCACCCCAAUGGUGCAGCCGCUAUUAAAGGUUCGUUUGUUCAACGAUUAACAGCC
rnacentral:rRNA from 1 species